GCAUAUUCUGUUUUCCGUUGGCGUCCAUGAAAGAGUAACAGGCUCCAGUCCCUUCACGUGUCCUGAAACUACUCACCUAUCUAAGAAUCUCAGCAUUAUUGGCAUAACUCCACCUCCCUGUGCCUUUCCUCUCACGGAAGGAAGCUGAAAGAAGGGAUGAGUCAUGAGAAGCACAUACAGAGCUGGCCUGUCAGUGGAGCCAUUACUGCUGAGAAUGACCAGAACGUGGGGCUCAAGAACAUCACCCUGUGAUAGAAGGUGGAGCCAAAAAGCUACUGCCCUCACAGCUGCCGUAAACCGCCUCUUGUCUUCCAGGAGGCUGGGAGAUACCAGGCCGCAGAGGCUCCCCAGUUCCUGCCUCUUCCCUGCCCCAGGCUAGUACACCCCUGAGAUGCCCGGCUAGAGGAAGGAUUGAACUGAUGUGAAGGCGCGGAAGCUGAGCCAAGGUGAAACCAAGAAAAGCUCUGCUGCAGAGAAAUUAGUUUGCACCAAACUAAAAGUAAAGAGCAACACCCCCC
ensembl:lncRNA